AUUGAACGCUAGCGGGAUGCUUUACACAUGCAAGUCGAACGAGUGGCGGACGGGUGAGUAAUAUAUCGGAACGUGCCCAGUAGCGGGGGAUAACUACUCGAAAGAGUGGCUAAUACCGCAUACUAUUGUAUCGGCCCAUAUCGGAUUGGCUAGUUGGUGGGGUAAAGGCUCACCAAGGCAACGAUCCGUCGCUGGUUUGAGAGGACGACCAGCCACACUGGGACUGAGACACGGGCCAGACUCCUACGGGAGGCAGCAGUGGGGAAUUGUGGACAAUGGGGGCAACCCUGAUCCAGCCAUCCCGCGUGUAUGAGAAGGCCUUCGGGUUGUAAAGUACUUUUGGCAGAGAAGCGGUAUCUGAAGAAUAAGCACCGGCUAACUACGUGCCAGCAGCCGCGGUAAUUG
rnacentral:rRNA from 1 species